AUUGAACGCUGGCGGCAGGCCUAACACAUGCAAGUCGAGCGGUAGAGAGAAGCUUGCUUCUCUUGAGAGCGGCGGACGGGUGAGUAAUGCCUAGGAAUCUGCCUGGUAGUGGGGGAUAACGUUCGGAAACGGACGCUAAUACCGCAUACGUCCUACGGGAGAAAGCAGGGGACCUUCGGGCCUUGCGCUAUCAGAUGAGCCUAGGUCGGAUUAGCUAGUUGGUGAGGUAAUGGCUCACCAAGGCGACGAUCCGUAACUGGUCUGAGAGGAUGAUCAGUCACACUGGAACUGAGACACGGUCCAGACUCCUACGGGAGGCAGCAGUGGGGAAUAUUGGACAAUGGGCGAAAGCCUGAUCCAGCCAUGCCGCGUGUGUGAAGAAGGUCUUCGGAUUGUAAAGCACUUUAAGUUGGGAGGAAGGGUUGUAGAUUAAUACUCUGCAAUUUUGACGUUACCGACAGAAUAAGCACCGGCUAACUCUGUGCCAGCAGCCGCGGUAAUACAGAGGGUGCAAGCGUUAAUCGGAAUUACUGGGCGUAAAGCGCGCGUAGGUGGUUUGUUAAGUUGGAUGUGAAAGCCCCGGGCUCAACCUGGGAACUGCAUUCAAAACUGACAAGCUAGAGUAUGGUAGAGGGUGGUGGAAUUUCCUGU
rnacentral:rRNA from 1 species